rnacentral:lncRNA from 1 species
AAAUAUUUGUUUUUUCCCUUAGUGAAGUGUUCCCCGGUCAUCGGUAAAUGUCUGGUCGUUUUUUGAUGUCGGUAAACAUCAUCUUUCGAUGUCGGUAAACGUCGAGUCUCAUCCCAGUCAUCGGUAAACGUCUGGUCAUACUUUGUUUCCUUGUUGAUAAAAUCAAGAUCCCCAGAAGUCGUCGGUAAACGUCUUGUCUGAU